rnacentral:lncRNA from 1 species
AUGGUUUUUUAUUCACCUCCUCAUAGCACUGGCCUUAUUGGAUUUUACACCCUGCACAUACACAGUGAAUUAAAUGGGAAUGCCCAUAUGUUGAAAGCUAGCAGUUCUGUUAGAAAUACAGAUAUGUGGAUUAUAGAAAACGCGAAUGGCUAUUUGAAUGGUUAUUUGACUUCAGGAGCCAUUAUCCUACUCGAAUUGUAGAAGUCCUUUUAAAGUUCCUUGUGAAGUACAGUGUGAUGACAUUUUGAGAUGUGAUGUCUGGCCAUAUUUUACCUGUUAAUGGCAGUUUCUCCACAAACAGUGUUGUAGUUUGUUGCUUGGGUAAAAUAGGGAUUGGUCAGGGUGGUCAUCCACCUACCAACUUGUUGAUUAUUAAUUUUGUAAUUUUUGUUUUUAUCAUGAAUAUUUCUUGAAAACCUCUUUCAUGACUCAAUCAUCUUCUAACGACACUUACAUGGAAAAUAUAUAUGCUUUUUUUUGGUUCAGAACUCCAUGAGAUGACACUUAAAUAAUACUCAAAUAAAGCCACCAAAAUCAUAUAAUAGGAUAAUAGGAUAUGUUAUAUCAACAUAUAAUAGGAACAAUAUCACAACAAGUCAACAAAUUUGUGAGAAAUUAAGAUUCACAAUGAUGGAGACUGGUACUUACAGUAUAUGAAUCUAUGAGUGAUACAAUGACCUGCACUGAUCCGAGUAAAAUACAAGGAAAAAACAGUUAAAUAAUACCAAUAAUUUUAAUAAAAUAAAGAGAGAUUUAAACACACAACACUACACACUACACACACACACACACACACACACACACACACGAAAUGAGCUGGCUCUGUCUGGUCUGUAACCAAUAAAAACAUAGUUUAUCCACCUCUAGUGUAGCCUGCAGUGACGGUGACUGUUUAUGUUUUUACUUCUACCCACUUACAUGGAAAUACCCCAGUUCAUUUUUCCCGAAAUGCAUUUCCUGAAAACAAAGCUGAAAGGGAAUUAUUGUCAGUACCGCUGUCUUUGUUUGUGUGUCUGUCUGGUGUGAAACUCAUCUCCAACCUUAUACCACAGGAAAUAACCUCCAGCCCACUAACAAGCGAUUGACUCAUCUUUAACUUGCUGUAGCAUUUAUGAUGAACCUUAGCUGUCACUGAGUCAAGUUGACCGGGCAUGACAAAUCACAGUUCAAGAGCCACAAUUUGCUGUUUCAUGUUAAGAUCACAACUGUGGAGGAUGUCAUGAAGUUUUAGACUUAAUUUUGUAAUUUAAGUUGCAUAAUGCAUUUCAGUGGGCUCAGAAUAAUUUGCAAUGGCAGAAGAGAUGAUUGUCAUUCAAUACUGGAAAAGACUGAUACAAAUAUUAGAAAAAAGGAUUUUGUGUCUAUUAGAGUAUUACGGCUUUAACUUAGUAACAUGCUAACUAAAACUGUAUUGUUUGAGACGAAUGCUAGUUGAGUAUGCCAAUCCAGAGCACUAGUAGUGUGGUAAGUGAAGCUGCUGUGUAUGUAGAGCAUUCCAAAUCCCUCACUCUUGAGUGUCCAUGACACUUAGCAUGCUGUCUUAGCACAUAAAGUCAAAACUUGACUG